UUUCGUGAAUUUUAACAUUCAUAAUACAACAGAAACGCGAAAACUGCCCCGAAUUGGCUACCAGGUGCUGAAGGCGCUGAACCAUCUGAACCAGCACGGGUAAACGCUGCGUUGCCAAUGUGUUUUAAAUAGACAGGUGGAGUCUUUCUGAGUCACUUUUGUGGCAGUUUCGUGAAUUUAACAGGUGGAGUCUUUCUGAAUCACUUUUGUGGCAAUUUCAUGAAUUUAACAGGUGGAAUCUAUCUGAGUCACUUUUGUGGCAAUUUCGUGAAUUUAACUUUGGUUUUUUGUGACAGUGCCACUUUUCGUGAAUUUUAACAUUCAUAAUACAACUGAAACGCGAAAACUGCCCCGAAUUGGCUACCAGGUGCUGAGGGCGCUGAACCAUCUGAACCAGCACGGGUAAACGCUGCGUUGCCAAUGUGUUUUAAAUAGACAGGUGGAGUCUUUCUGAGUCACUUUUGUGGCAGUUUCGUGAAUUUAACAGGUGAGUCUUUCUGAAUCACUUUUGUGGCAAUUUCAUGAAUUUAACAGGUGGAAUCUAUCUGAGUCACUUUUGUGGCAAUUUCGUGAAUUUAACUUUGGUUUUUUGUGACAGUGCCACUUUUCGUGAAUUUUAACAUU